rnacentral:rRNA from 1 species
GUCAAGUGAAUAAGAGCACGUGGUGGAUGCCUUGGCAAUGAUAGGCGACGAAGGACGUGAUAGCCUGCGAUAAGCUUCGGGGAGCUGGCAAAUUAGCUUUGAUCCGGAGAUUUCCGAAUGGGGAAACCCACCGAAAGGUAUCGCAUGAUGAAUACAUAGUCAUGCGAGGCGAACCGGGUGAACUGAAACAUCUCAGUAGCUCGAGGAAAAGACAUCAACCGAGAUUCCGAAAGUAGUGGCGAGCGAAAUCGGAGAAGCCUGUUAGUGAUAGCACAAGACAUAACGGAACAGCUUGGAAAGGCUGGCCAUAGCGGGUGAUAGCCCCGUACGUGAAAUGACCUGUGUGGUACUGAGCUAACGACAAGUAGGGCGGGACACGAGAAAUCCUGUCUGAAUAUGGGGGGACCAUCCUCCAAGGCUAAAUACUCAUCAUUGACCGAUAGCGAACUAGUACCGUGAGGGAAAGGCGAAAAGAACCCCGGGAGGGGAGUGAAAUAGAUCCUGAAACCGCGUGCUUACAAAAAGUAGGAGCCUCGUAAGGGGUGACUGCGUACCUUUUGUAUAAUGGGUCAGCGACUUACAUUCAGUGGCAAGGUUAACCGAAUAGGGAAGCCGUAGAGAAAUCGAGUCCGAAUAGGGCGAUCAGUCGCUGGGUGUAGACCCGAAACCAAGUGAUCUAUCCAUGGCCAGGAUGAAGGUGCCGUAACAGGUACUGGAGGUCCGAACCGACUAGUGUUGCAAAACUAGCGGAUGAGCUGUGGAUAGGGGUGAAAGGCUAAACAAACUUGGAAAUAGCUGGUUCUCUCCGAAAACUAUUUAGGUAGUGCCUCAAGUAUUACCAUCGGGGGUAGAGCACUGUUUUGGCUAGGGGGUCAUGGCGACUUACCAAACCAAGGCAAACUCCGAAUACCGAUGAGUACAGCUUGGGAGACAGAGCACCGGGUGCUAACGUCCGGACUCAAGAGGGAAACAACCCAGACCGCCAGCUAAGGUCCCUAAAAUUGGCUAAGUGGGAAACGAAGUGGGAAGGCUAAAACAGUCAGGAUGUUGGCUUAGAAGCAGCCAUCAUUUAAAGAAAGCGUAAUAGCUCACUGAUCGAGUCGUCCUGCGCGGAAGAUGUAACGGGGCUAAGCCAGUUACCGAAGCUGCGGAUUUGCAAUUUAUUGCAAGUGGUAGGAGAGCGUUCUGUAAGCCUGUGAAGGUGCGUUGUAAAGCGUGCUGGAGGUAUCAGAAGUGCGAAUGCUGACAUGAGUAGCGUUAAAGGGGGUGAAAAGCCCCCUCGCCGUAAGCGCAAGGUUUUCUACGCAACGUUCAUCGGCGUAGAGUGAGUCGGCCCCUAAGGCGAGGCAGAGAUGCGUAGCUGAUGGGAAACAGGUCAAUAUUCCUGUACCGAUAUAUAGUGCGAUGUGGGGACGGAUCUUAAUAGGUCAUCCAGUUAUUGGAUUAUUCUGGUUUAGUUGGAUGUAGGCGUGCACUAGGCAAAUCCGGUGCACAUAUACCGAGGCCAACGAUCGAGCGGACUUGUCCGUGAAGUGACUGAACGAGGUUCCAGGAAAAGCCACUAAGCUUCAGCUACACACGACCGUACCGCAAACCGACACUGGUGCGCGAGAUGAGUAUUCUAAGGCGCUUGAGAGAACUCAGGAGAAGGAACUCGGCAAAUUGACACCGUAACUUCGGAAGAAGGUGUGCCCUAUUAGUGUGUAGUGAACAACGAAGCACGAAUGGGUUGCAAAAAAUCGGUGGCUGCGACUGUUUAUUAAAAACACAGCACUCUGCAAACACGAAAGUGGACGUAUAGGGUGUGACGCCUGCCCGGUGCUGGAAGAUUAAAUGAUGGGGUGCAAGCUCUUGAUUGAAGUCCCAGUAAACGGCGGCCGUAACUAUAACGGUCCUAAGGUAGCGAAAUUCCUUGUCGGGUA